CCUACGGGAGGCAGCAGUGAGGAAUAUUGGUCAAUGGCCGGAAGGCUGAACCAGCCAUGCCGCGUGAAGGUCAGUGCCCUAUGGGCGUUAAACUUCUUUUGUGCGGGAGCAAUAAUGGUCACGUGUGGCCAGACGAGAGUACCGUACGAAUAAGCAUCGGCUAACUCCGUGCCAGCAGCCGCGGUAAUACGGGGGAUGCAAGUGUUAUCCGGAUUUAUUGGGGUUAAAGGGUGCGUAGGCUGUGAGGUAAGUCAGCGGUGAAAUGCCCCCGCUCAACGGGGUGAAGUGCCAUUGAUACUGGCUUGCUGGAAUGCGGAUGCCGUGGGAGGAAUGUGUGGUGUAGCGGUGAAAUGCAUAGAUAUCACACAGAACACCGAUUGCGAAGGCAUCUCACGAAUCCGCGAUUGACGCUGAUGCACGAAAGCGUGGGUAUCAAACAGGAUUAGAUACCCCGGUAGUC
rnacentral:rRNA from 1 species